AUUAAAGACAGCGCAGGGGGAACCGGAUUCUCUCCUGCAAAGCGACAUAAAUCCAGCGAAAACCCAUUAAACCACCACCGCCGCCACCAAGCAACGCAGCACUACACACCACAGCAAACAACAGUGAAGGCGAUGGUUACUGCUGUCAAUCUUGGCAAUCAAUGUGAGCGGCCAUGUCGAAAACAGAAGAAAGACGAUAAGCACAUCCUCGAAGGUAGCAUCCUCCUUCGCACAACUUCUUAAGUACGAGGCGGCAACGGGACAAGAGAUAAGGAAGGCGUCAGAACAGUUAGCCGCCCACCCAGAUCCGAACCAGAGAAGCAUCCCUCCGCGCUCCCGAAAUCCCCGCGCAGGGGCUGCCACUCGGCUGGGGCAGUGCACCGCAGGGAUGCGCCCGCGUUCCCAGGCGGAGCGCGAGUAACACUCUCUAGCUUGUUGCUUCCCCGUGUGAUCAAUUAAGUUACAGAUGCAGCACACAAUGCCGCGGAGUUACAACUUCUCUGCGGUAGAAGACGAGGACUCCGUGGGCACUGUAUGCAAAUGUGCAUGUAUGUGCUCUGCACAGGAAUAACUGCGCUUCCCUCUUUGUUUGCAUAAGUGAACAUCCGCCGUACGCACGUGCAGAGAAACAAGCAAACGCUUUUACUUUUAGCGUUACUAUGCGUUUAGAGACUACGUCUUACAUUUCUUCUCUCGCUUUUCUUCAUUAAGGCUAGAGACGGCACAGCAGCCAGCGCAGGCAGAUGCUGGGAAGGGAUGCUGGGCUGCUCUGCGUCCUCGCAGGGGGAAGGAAUCAACCUCUCGGUUCACGUCGGGGCACUUACCUGCUCACAGCUGGUAGCGCAUUUUGCGCCGUCUCUUUCAUUAAACACACAAAAGUAAAGCAACGCUCAAC
rnacentral:lncRNA from 7 species